UGCUCAUUGGCUGCCGCGGCUUACGUAAAAGGAGCCUGUUGCUGAGCGAAGAGAAGUAACUGCUGCAGCUUUCGUUUAGAAGAAAUGUUAGGGCUGGAAAGGACCUCGGACUUCCUGACUGUUUGAUGAAAGAAUUGACCAAACCGAUGGGAAGUGCAUUCAUACUGUGAAGUCUUUUAGGAGCCUGGUCAUGCUGGCAAGCGCAGAGGAAACCUCAGCAACCACAGAUGAGGGAACAGAUUCUAAGAGCUGAAAAAAAUUCACCUUGGGUCACACAGCUAAAGAUUAGCACCCGAGUUUCCUGAUUCCUUGGCAGUGUUCUUUCUAUUUCAUCUUAUCCAGGUAACAGUUGUCUCUGUUUCCAAGAACCUGUGGUAGUCCUGCCCCCUAAAGCACAACUCCAGGGGACAAUCCCAGUAGUGGUUGUCUAGUUUGACAGCUCAGGACCUGUCAGCACCUAGCAUAAUGUCUGCUUAAUGAGUAA